UACGUAGGGGGCUAGCGUUGUCCGGAUUUAUUGGGCGUAAAGAGCGUGUAGGCGGCCAGGUAGGUCUGCUGUGAAAACUCGAGGCUCAACCUCGAGACGUCGGCGGAAACCAUCUGGCUAGAGUCCGGAAGAGGAGAGUGGAAUUCCUGGUGUAGCGGUGAAAUGCGCAGAUAUCAGGAAGAACACCGGUGGCGAAGGCGGCCUUCUGGACAGUGACUGACGCUGAGACGCGAAAGCGUGGGGAGCAAACAGG
rnacentral:rRNA from 1 species